rnacentral:rRNA from 1 species
UGCCAGCAGCCGCGGUAAAACGUAGGAGGCGAGCGUUAUCCGGAUUUACUGGGCGUAAAGCGCACGCAGGUGGCACAGUAAGUUGGAUGUGAAAGCUCCUGGCUUAACUGGGAGAGGCCAUUCGAAACUGCUGAGCUUGAGGUUGGGAGAGGGGUGUGGAAUUCCCGGUGUAGUGGUGGAAUGCGUAGAUAUCGGGAGGAACACCAGUGGCGAAAGCGGCACCCUGGCCCACACCUGACGCUGAGGUGCGAAAGCGUGGGGAGUAAACAGGAUUAGAUACCCUGGUAAUCCACGCCGUAAACGAUGUCAACUGGGUGUCGGUAGUGUUACACUAUCGGUGCCGAAGCAAACGCGUUAAGUUGACCGCCUGGGGACUACGGCCGCAAGGCUAAAACUCAAAGGAAUUGACGGGGGCCCGCACA